UGGCCAUAAAUAUAACCGAGAAAACGACUGUCUCACAGAUAUUUUGAAUUUUUGAAUCUAAGUUACUUAAAAUUAAUUAGCAAUGGUUCGAACUUGCUGCGUUAUUGGAUGUAAUGUCCGAUCACACGACCGAAACGAUAAAAAGAUGGAAAACGGGCUUUCGUUUUUCUGUUUUCCUGCCUGGAAACGACGAGGCUAAGCUAACGGAGCUAACAAAAUGGAGACGAAAGUCCCGGGUAUCAGCGUUGAGACGUCCUGAUGUUACGUUCUCCAACAACCCAAGAUAUCUACGAGUUUACCCCAGACAUGUCCAUUCUGGCAAACUGACGUAUGAAAUGGAUUCAAUCCAGACUGAAUCUGGGUCACUGUAAGGUAAACACCACAACAUCGGACCGACAUGCACGUCAGUUACAGAGGUGAUAGAGCAAGACCAUCAUGGAUCAACAAGUUACAGAGACUGUAACUCCAUCAGUCCAAUUAUUUACCCAAGAAGAGGUAAAUAAUGAAAACACAGCAGCGAAGGCUGUAGAAGAGGAGGAAACCCCUGGAGAAGAGCUCAGCAAGGCUGCACACUUUGAAGAGGAACAGGAACCAUUUGUGUUGAAAUAAAUGUGUUCAGUUGGAA